CACUGGCGCGCGCUCACUUGCUUACCUCGGUCUACCUUCUAGCUUCGGCCGAGAGAUGAAGCUGCUUAUCUCUGGUGCGGCCAAGCCAUUUGGUGCGUGGCCUCCAGGCUCAGCAGACUCCUGGUGGUCAGCAGCAGCGGCGCUGGUAUCUGCUCCUUCUUGGGUAGAUUGGCAGCCUGACUAAUAGACUGAGAAUAGGAAGAGAGAGACUUUAGAAGAUGUCUAGACCAACCUCAUUUUACAGAUGAAGAGUCUGAAGCCCAGAAAGGAUCAAUGACCUGGCCAAUGUCACACAUGUAAUAAGAACAAGAAUGGAAUUUGAACUCGU